CUGCAGCUUCGGCGGAGGAGACUCUUGGAAUAAACCGCUGCCACGUCGUCCGCUGCCCUGGGAUAAAGCAGCAGGGUGUAAAUUGGACGCGUACAAGUCGCAGUUUCGGCGGCGGUGUGGCAUGGACCGUUGUGCUGUACAGGCUGCAGUCAUUCGACGCGCAGGUCGGAUUCAGUGUCGAUGACUCCAGCCAUCUGAGUGUCGCAUAUUUUGCAAGGAACGUUGCAGUUCUGGGUGUGGAAUAAGGCGGAAAGGUAAGCAGACAUUUCUUUGGCUGCUGGUUUGUCCUGACUGCAAGAAGAAACGACGUAGCCGCUGCUCUUAUGUAGGGCAGAGAGCGCCACCCGGCAAGAUUGCAUUCCGGACCUCCUUACUCCCGCUGGCUUGUGGCACAUUUAUAGCCCGCUGGCGGGCCGGCGCAACCU